rnacentral:rRNA from 1 species
UACAGAGGAUGCAAGCGUUAUCCGGAAUGAUUGGGCGUAAAGCGUCUGUAGGUGGCUUUUUAAGUCCGCCGUCAAAUCCCAGGGCUCAACUUGGAGACGCCACCCGAUACUGCUCUGACUUGAGUUCGGUAGGGGAGUGGGGAAUUCCUGGUGUAGCGGUGAAAUGCGCAGAUAUCAGGAGGAACACCGGUGGCGAAGGCGCCACUCUGGGCCGAAACUGACGCUGAGGAGCGAAAGCGUGGGUAGCAAACAGG